GGAAGGGUGCCGGAGCGGCUAAACGGCCAGGUCUCGAAAACCUUGGGGGAGCAAUCCCACGCGAGUUCGAAUCUCGCCUCUUCCG
rnacentral:tRNA from 2 species